GUUUUUUUUAUCCAUUCCCUCUGAUUUUUUUUUCAUCCAUUGCAAUUAUAUCUUUUUUUAUCAGUUCCCUCAUAUUUUGUAUUAAUUCCCUCAGGUUUUUAAUUCCCUCAAUUUUAAUAAUCCUCGGAAUAUGCGUGUUUUUCCAUUCAUUGUGUCUGCACCCCUUUGCCAGAAAUUACGCUGCUGAUGGAACCAUAGUCUGAGAUCAAUUCAAAUAGAUUGACUGCAGUGCCGUCGAGGGCAUAACGGAUGCUCAACUCACACAAUACGUGCCCAGAUUUGGUGAUCUUAAGGCAGUACUGCAAAAGAGAAGUGGCCGCUCUCCAAGGAUCAAGUGUAUCCAAAGCUGCAGAGAGGGAUAUAGAACAUUUUAAACACUGAAAGAAAAGUAAUGAGAAGUCAGCAAAACUUUGGAAAUGCCAACGAUUAGAAAACAGAAUGUACUUUCCAAAUUGUAUGGCUGGAACAAGUUGGUGUCAACUCAUUCUGCCAAGUCACAGAUAAAGAAAGGUGGUGAGACAAGACAAUUAAAGGCAGCAAAGAUGGUUACAAUGGCAGAGCUGUUGGAGGUGCAGAUGUCCUUGUGUCUUCAGCCAUUCACGUCUACUUUGUUGAGCCCAAGAGUGACUUUGUGAGAAGCCCCCAUCACACACCUGCGGAUGUGUUUUGGAGAUCCCCCAACACCUACACAUCAUACCUUGAGAUGCCAGAGGAAUUCACCCAGGUCCUGGAUUCCAAAGUGUGGGUGAUGGACAUCAUUUAAAUGUAAGUGAUACAUUUUCUCACACACACACAAUGAACUUUCUCAAAUCAAUCAUGUAGCAUUAGUAGUUGAAUUGUCAAAAGUUACCAGGGAGGAUGAUAGUUGCGUUAGAGGGGAGCGGUAUAAAUGUAUCUGUCUUGUUCCACCAGGCUACCUGACCCAAUUAUGUUGACAACACAUUAAACAACUACAUUCACAA